UACGAAGGGGGCGAGCGUUGUUCGGAUUUACUGGGCGUAAAGGGCGCGCAGGCGGUUCUGUUUGUCGAGUGUGAAAGCCCCGGGCUCAACCUGGGAACUGCGCUCGAAACGGCGGAAUUAGAGUUCGGGAGAGGAGAGUGGAAUUCCCAGUGUAGAGGUGAAAUUCGUAGAUAUUGGGAAGAACACCGGUGGCGAAGGCGGCUCUCUGGACCGAUACUGACGCUGAGGCGCGAAAGCGUGGGGAGCAAACAGG
rnacentral:rRNA from 1 species